CAGCCGUAAACUAUGCUCGCUAGGUGUCAGGGACGGUGCGACCGUUUCUGGUGCCGCAGGGAAGCCGUGAAGCGAGCCACCUGGGAAGUACGGUCGCAAGGCUGAAACUUAAAGGAAUUGGCGGGGGAGCACUACAACGGGUGGAGCCUGCGGUUUAAUUGGAUUCAACGCCGGAAAUCUUACCGGGACCGACAGCAACAUGAAGGCCAGGCUGAAGACUUUGCCGGAUUAGCUGAGAGAAGGUGCAUGGCGUAGUCGUGU
rnacentral:rRNA from 1 species